rnacentral:rRNA from 1 species
CUACGGGUUGCUCCAGUGGGGAAUAUUGGACAAUGGGGGAAACCCUGAUCCAGCAAUGCCGCGUGUGUGAAGAAGGCCUGCGGGUUGUAAAGCACUUUCGGUUGGGAGGACUGCUUCUAGCACUAAUAUUGUUGGAAGUUGACGUUACCUUCAGAAGAAGCACCGGCUAACUCCGUGCCAGCAGCCGCGGUAAUACGGGGGGUGCAAGCGUUAAUCGGAAUUACUGGGCGUAAAGCGCGCGUAGGCGGCUAGACCAGUCGGGUGUGAAAGCCCCGGGCUUAACCUGGGAACUGCAUCCGAUACUGUCUAGCUUGAGUACAGGAGAGGAGAGUGGAAUUCCACAUGUAGCGGUGACAUGCGUAGAUAUGUGGAGGAACACCAAUGGCGAAGGCAGCUCUCUGGCCUGAUACUGACGCUGAGGUGCGAAAGCGUGGGGAGCAAACAGGAUUAGAUACCCGAGUAGUC